AGAAGCUUUAAAUUUUGAUGAGGUCUGAUAUCUUGCACUUUAGAACAUACAGUAUGCUUUCUAUUGCCUGUGGUGCAGAGAUUAAAAGAUUGAUAAAGUGCGGCCAGAACUGUAAAAGAGGUAUAACUGGGAAUGUGGAUUGAUUCAGAAUGGCUGAGAUGAAUUAAAAGAAGUAAAAAUACUGGAAAUGACCAACUGGAAUGAAAUUGGAGUGUGAAAAUUCCAAUUCACAGUUGCUAUAGGGGCCAUUUGACCAGAUGAGAGCAUCCAGCAAGCAUAAACUUCCAAGCAGGAGCCAGAGUAAGCAGUGGAAAAUGAAGCUGCUGUAAAAUUUUGUGGACAGCCGUUGCAAAAUGCUUUCUGAAAAUUGUACAUAGUAAAU